rnacentral:rRNA from 1 species
AUGGCAUCGUCUUCGUCAUCAUCAGUAGCGCGCUCGUCCUCCAAUGCUGGAGAUCCUGGCUACUAUCCAAAGCAAUCUCCGAUUCCUUACCGUGAGCACAGGCUAGCAUAUGAGCCAGCUUCAAAUUACUGGUGCAAAGAGAAAGGGGCGAGAUGGAUCUCCUGGACCAACGCUAACCCUGGACGUAGGUUUCUGAACUGCCAAAAAACUUGGGCAAGCAUUCGUUUUAAUCUAUCUUCUUCUUGGUUCUUGCUGGAUCUAUCUCUCCCUCAUAUAGCUGGCAAACUUUCUUGCCAACUUUUGGUCGAUCUGCGCGACACGGUGCACAACCUGCAGAGGGAGAACGCUCGGCUCAAUGGCGUCAACGCACACCUUGAAAUGGGGAUUGAGGAACGAAGCUCCAUUAAUAUUUCUUUGAGGGAUGCAUUGUGCAAGACGAAGGAACGAAAUAAGGCUCUGGAAGAAAAGCUAUGUCAGACUGAAGCCCGUCUCAAGUAA